rnacentral:SRP_RNA from 1 species
UCGUGCUAGGCGGGGAGCUAGCGGUGCCCUGUACCCGCAAUCCGCUAUAGCGGGGCGGAACUCCCCCUCGAGGUCUUGAACCUUUUGGGACUGCCUCUACUAAGUGGCGUUGAAGAUUGGGUCCUGCGCGGCAGAAGGCUAUGAAUCCCGUCAGGUCCGGAAGGAAGCAGCGGUAAAUAGUGAUUUCUGGGUGCCGCAGGGUUGCCUGAUCAGAGCUGGCUGGUAGUAGUAAGCUAGGAGGCGAGGUCGACAGUGGGUGCACGG